GAACAGUUUAAUACAUUUUAGAAUAAGGCUGUAACGUAACAAAAUGUGGAAAAACUCAGGCCUGAAUACUUUCCGAAUGCUCUGUAUAUCCAGGCCGAAAUCACUAAUGCAUAAACAUCCCUGAACGUAUUCAAAUCUCAUUUCAUGUAAUCAAUGUAAAGGAUACCAUGCAAUUCCUGAUUGAUCAUGUCUGAUGAGUGGCCCCUUAUUUCACUCAAACGACAAGCUUUUCACAUGCUUAUAUUCACAUACGAGGCCUUCAGUUUUCGUAAGGAGGUCAGGGGUGCACAGUAUGUAUACAACUGAAGUGGAUGUGAUGUUAACCUAUGAUCAUCCAAUUGUAGACAUAUUCAGCAUGUUGGAUCCAAUAUUCCACUAACAUUUGCUGAGCAAUGUGUCUUCAGAUAGACAGGCAAACUGUUUUGGGGAAACUAAUAAUAUCCAACUCGUUAGUUUAAUUGAUCAAUCUUAAAAUCUCAUCAACACACCAGCCCACACCUAUUUCCCAUUACUUUGCUUGUAUGUGAAAACUUGGAAAAACAACUAAUUGGUGCAGUUGAAGGUCAAUGAAUAUUUAUUCAGUCUUCAUGUCAUGAAAAUGUUUUUACUGUGUGUUUUCUUUUCAGUUAGUCUUUGGUAAUUUAUGGUAAAGUCAGAUUGAUUUCAAGCAUGUAUCUCAUAUGUAUUUAUUGUACAAGUCUUAUCUAAGCAUUUCCAUGUUUAUGCCUGGUUUGUAACAUCAAAGGGUUCAGAGGGACAACAGUCCCGCUUCUAAGGCUUGCUGGCUCUUUUCAAAUUGUAGAAUGUUUGAAAAAACAAAUGACAACUUGAUUUCCUGAAAAAAGUGUAAUGCACUUAUUAACGUGCCAUAGAUUGUGGGUCAUUGGGAUAGGGUCAGUUGUAUCCGUGUGAACUUUGGGCUGAAUUGUACUAUAACCUAUUUCUGCUGUCAGGUCAGACACUAGGUGUCAGACCCUAUACAUAAAUUCUGUAAAGUAUUUGCACGUCAGGGGAAAUAUACAGGUUCUGGCUUGCCAAUACCAUGCUGUGUGUGUUGUGAUUGCAUGCCUGGACAUGCUGGUUAUAUAGGCCCUGACAAUUGCCACAAUCCAAGUUACAGAGAUGGCAGACCACUCUGUGUGUGUAUGCAUGCACGCUUCAAGGUUCUGUUCAACAGCUGCUUGAAUAAGGACCUUUGACAGAUUAGGACAUUCAUUUUCAGCUCAUGCAGUCAAAGCCAGUGUUCACUAAAUGGGUGUACUGAAGCUCUAGCUACAUUGUGGGAAUAUCAUGCUACAAAACAAAAGUACUGUCUGACAUCGGCAACAUUCACAGUUGUGGAUUACAUUUUUUUGUUGAACUAGGUCCAAUAUUCCCAUGUGGACCAAUCACUUAACUCAAAACAUGGUAUGUGAUAUUUUAUUGUGCAAUAAAAGAUGACUUUCAACUUUCAAGUGAAGGGGUAUUCAUUUCUCACCAUACUGCUAGCAGCAGCUAGCCUGGCUGACGCACGACCCACGUGACUAACACAGUG
rnacentral:lncRNA from 1 species